GUGUGGAGCGAACAGCGGACUCCGGCUUCGUUCGCGAAACCCCGCUGGAAUCCGGGAGAUGAAGCCGAAGCGGAACGUCAAGCAUCUCGAGGAGGUUCUGGUUAGCAGAUGUGAGAGCGACACGGGGGAGGGGUCUCGGGUCAGCGUCCCGCUCAGAGAUGGCCUCCUCUCGGGCCCCCCCAGCUGCAGGCAGGAAUCCUGAGAACUUGACCAGUCAUCGGUGGAGCUACGCGAAGCUCAGAGUGACAGGAAGCGGUGGUUUGGCAAAGCUGAGGUGUGUGUACAGGACACACUGUGGGCGCUUUGGGGAGACAGUGGACUAGAUCUCCGCCGGAUCCUAUACGGGUCCGAUCCUGCGGGACGUGGGGCGCCGUCCCCCGCUGCCCCCUCGCUGUCCGCUGCUGAACUGGAGUCCUUCUUGGAGCACCAUGUGGCUUUAGGAUGUGCGCUUGUAACCGGAAGGUGUUCGGUUCGAAUCCCACUCCCUCCGAAAACAAAAAGCUGCAGUUGGUGACCCGGACCGAGCGGCUCAGGGAGGCUGGCAAACCGCAGAGCGACCGCAGAGCGACCGCAGAGCGACCGCAGAGCGACCGCAGAGCGACCGCGGAGGCGCUCGGCGUGACCGGCUUCUCGGACGCGCCGACCCGGAAGUGGCGGAAGUAGGAAUCGCCGUCGCUCGCGUAGCCGGUGCCAGGAUUAGGAGGGCAGUCGUCACGUCCACAGGUGGCUGAAAGAACCGUUUGUCCAGCGAUACUGUGGACCGAUCAGCGAUCCAGGGAAAAAAGUUCAUUAUUGCUUUUUGUAUUUUGUUUUACAUUCCACUGACACCAUAAACAAUAAAGCGAGUGGGAAUUUUUACUGGGCCGUGUUUAUAUUUAUUCCCCGUUUCCGCUGACGUGCAACGUGAGAGGCGACGCCUCUGAGCGAGUUUUGUACAGGCAGACUUCGUUCGCUAUUCUUAUGAUUAAUUAAAAUAAUUAUCCAUCCAUGAUGCAAAUGAAACGCCGAAGAGCAGUGGAGGUUACAGAUCGUCCACUACAAGAGGCAGGUUAUGCCGUUGCCGCCGUUCGUCCGCUGUCCGUGAUCCCCGAGACGUGCGCGCGGGGGGUCUUUGGCCCCCGUCCGAGGAGCGCCAGAGCCGGCACCUUAGGCUCGCUGCAUCAGAGAGCUAAGAAGUUCCCCAGAACAAACAGACCCCCCCCCCCCAAGACGCAGUCACAAGAUGCAGCUUCGCCUGUGGAUGAAAGGAGCCCAUUGUGGGCCUCAUCGGUGGGGAGGUCGCCCAGGUCUCCCGAUGCGAGCGGACGGAGGGACUCGGUGACGCUGAGCCGUCGAGGGUCCGGCCCUCCUCCGCCUGAAGUGCGCAAGGGGUCCACGUGUACUUGCGCGAUGCCAUCAAACUCAUGCGUGCACCAGUAUGCGGUAGGUUCACAACCCAUCGCCAUUCUGGAGCAGCUCCUGCCUUGCGCUUCACGAACCUGGGCGCGAAGCCCUGCUCCCUCUAUAAUACCCCUGAGCGAGUUGCUUAUUAUCGAUCGCUAUUCAUCUGACGCCUUUGCCCGGUUUCCAAAUUGUUCUAAAUGCUCACGGUCUAAUUGA
ensembl:lncRNA